rnacentral:lncRNA from 1 species
CUCUGGCGGAAAUCGCCGGUCUCGCCGGCUACGACUUCGCCGUCGUCGACAUGGAGCAUGGCUACGGCGGUAUCUCCGAUGCCCUCCCGUGCCUCCACGCCUUAGCCGCCACUAACACCCCUGCCAUCCUCCGUAUCCCAGAAUCCUCUGCUACUUGGGCUAAAAAAGCCCUCGAUCUCGGCCCGCAGGGUAUCAUGUUUCCCAUGAUUGACGGCCCGAAAUCUGCCCGAAAGGCCGUCUCUUACUGCCGUUUUCCUCCCAACGGAAUCCGGGGAUCAGCUCACACUGUCGUUCGAGCCUCGAGCUACGGAAUAGACGAAGGGUAUCUAAGCAAUUAUUCCGACGAUUUACUAAUCAUGUGUCAAGUAGAAU